GGGGGGGGGGGGGGGGGGGGGGGGGGGGGGGGGGGCGAGCGGGGGGGCGGGGCGUGGGGGGGGGGCGCGAGUGGCGAACGGGUGAGUAACACGGGAGUAACCUGCCCUUGGCUUUGGGAUAGCUGCAGGAGACGGGGGCUAAUACCGGAUAGGAGCUCCUGCUGCAUGGUGGGGGUUGGAAAGUUUCGGCGGUUGGGGAUGGACUCGCGGCUUAUCAGCUUGUUGGUGGGGUAGUGGCUUACCAAGGCUUUGACGGGUAGCCGGCCUGAGAGGGUGACCGGCCACAUUGGGACUGAGAUACGGCCCAGACUCCUACGGGAGGCAGCAGUGGGGAAUAUUGCACAAUGGGCGGAAGCCUGAUGCAGCAACGCCGCGUGCGGGAUGACGGCCUUCGGGUUGUAAACCGCUUUCGCCUGUGACGAAGCGUGAGUGACGGUAAUGGGUAAAGAAGCACCGGCUAACUACGUG
rnacentral:rRNA from 1 species